UCCCUGUCUUAGGUCAGUUAGGAUCACCACUUUAUUUUAAGAAUGUGAAAUGUCAGAAUAAUAGUAGAGAGAAUCAUUUGUUUCAGCUUUUAUUUCUUUCAUCACAUUCCCAGUGGGUCAGAAGUUUACAUACACUCAAUUAGUAUUUGGUAGCAUUGCCUUUAAAAUGGUUUAACUUGGGUCAAAUGUUUCGAGUAGCCUUCCACAAGCUUCCCACAAUAAGUUGGGUGAAUUUUGGCACAUUCCUCCUGACAGAGCUGGUGUAACUGAGUCAGGUUUGUAGGCCUUCUUGCUCGCAUACACUUUUUCAGUUCUGCCCACAAAUGCUCUAUUGGAUUGAGGUCAGGGCUUUGUGAUGGCCUCUCCAAUACCUUGACUUUGUUGUCCUUAAGCCAUUUUGCCACAACUUUGGAAGUAUGCCUGUGGUCAUUGUCCAGUUGGAAGACCCAUUUGCGACCAAGCUUUAACUGCCUGACUGAUGUCUUGAGAUGUUGCUUCAAUAUAUCCACAUAAUUUGUCUCCAUGUGCAGUUGCAAACUGUAGUCUGGCUUUAUUAUGGCGGUUUUAGAGCAGUGGCUUCUACCUUGCCAAGCUGUCUUUCAGGUUAUGUCAAUAUAAGACUUGUUUUACUGUGGAUAUGGAUACUUUUGUACAUGUUUCCUCCAGCAUCUUCACAAGGUCCUUUGCUGUUGUUCUGGGAUUGAUUUGCAAUUUCCACACCAAAGUACAUUAAUCUCUAGGACACAGAAAUGCAAUGCUGAACUGCAAUGCUGCUGGGUUUUUAAUGCUCAACCGUUUCCGUGUGUAUCAAGAAUGGUCCACCACCCAAAGGACAUCCAGCUAACUUGACACAACUGUGGAAAGCAUUGGAGUCAACAUGAGCCAGGAUCUCUGUGGAACGCUUUCCACACCUUGUAGAGUCCAUGCCCUGAUGAAAUGAGGCUCAUCUGAGGGCAAAAAAUGUUUUGUACACUCGGUGUAUAAGCGUCUUUGCCAUUGAUGAAUAGCGUAAACUUUACAUUUGAUUUGCUGACAUCCUACAGCAGUGGUUGGAACCGGUUCAGGGAACAGAACCAAAAACCGGAAAAUAAAAAUGUUUUCAAGGAACAGAAGCGGAACCUGGAACGAAAGUGAUCCAUACUGUUUAAAAGCAUGAGAACCAGUUAAUAAGGUUAUUUAAAGUUGUCCCACAACAAAUCGCAACAAAGCGCCUAUGCAAAGCCCUCACUUUAUCAUUCAGAAACAUAUUUCAGUGUCUGAAAAUCUUUACCUGUGCGUGUUUAGGAUACCUGCCCCUCCCCCCUCAGAAGCAUAGGCUACUGUACUGAUGUUACAAGCUUGAUUCAGAAGAUAGGUGGGGAAAUAAUUUUGAUGCCAACCCCUACCCUACAGUCACAUUUUGACACAUGUCGAGCUAUAUAAACCACGCGACUCUGCAAAAAUGCCUUCUCCGAUAUUGGUUACAAGGCGGUACUUAUUAAAAAUAGGUAAGAGAAUAUAAUUUUACCAUUCGUCUAUUAAAAUAACAAGUUAAGGUGAUAUCACAUUGUUCGCUUGAUUAUGAAUCCAGUAAUUGACAUAGGGGAGGAGACCAGUAACUUUAUGAUCCAGAUUUAUGAAUGUACAUAGAAGCAACAGUCAGUUCUCGUACUUUGGUCAUCAUGCUUUGAUCUGGUUUCCUUCAAAUAUCAUCCAAUUUCAUGAAAAACAUGAUUUUGACUGUUCAUGACCUUUAAACUAGCCAAGACCAGCAACAUGAACAAACAGACUCUACGGGUGAAAGUAGUGAGUGAAGCUACUAAACAGACUAUUCUAAACAAAUGACAUGUCUUACCUGUGGUGAGAUGUUUUCCACACACACAUGUAGGCUUCUUAGACAGUGGGUCCCCACAAUUUCCCAGUCUUCCAUUCUGAUUUGCCUGAAGACACAGGGCUCUUCUCACAGACUCCAUUUCCUUCAGAUGUUUGUACUUUGAACAACACAGCAGCUUUAUGUCAUUUUUGUUAUUUCUAUAUAACAGAAAAUCAACCACAACGUUGAUUAUUUUACACUGGGGGGUCAAUGAGAAAGAAUCUUUCUUAACCCCAAUUUGUUGGAAUUGCUUAUUGUUAUGUGAAUAUUGAUUCAAAGUAUUCAAUUAUAGAAGUAUUUUCAAUUAUACAAUUAUAUUCAAUUGUACAGUUAUAUUCAACUCUAUUCAAGUUUACUUUACUAUUCGAGUUUUAUUCAAUUCUACAUUUCUAUUGAACUAUAUUAAAUAAUACUGUUGUAUUCAGUUCAACAGUUAUAUUCAAUUAUGUAGUUAUAUUUCACACUAUUCAAUUCUACUAUCCAAUUCAGCAGUUCUAUUCAAUUCUACACUUCUAUUCAACCAUAUUAAAUAAUAAUGUUCUAUUCAGCUGUACAGUUCUAUUCAAAUAUAUAGUUCUAUUCCACACUAUUCAAUUCUACUGUUCUAUUCAAUUAUACAGUUCUGUUAAACUGUAUUAAAUUAUGAAGUUCAUUUCAAUUGUAGAGUUCUAUUAAACUGUAUUCCAUUAUAGAGUUCUAUUAAACUGUAUUCCAUUAUAGAGGUCUAUUAAACUGUAUUCCAUUAUAGAGUUCUAUUAAACUGUAUUCCAUUAUAGAGUUCUAUUAAACUGUAUUCCAUUAUAGAGUUCUAUUAAACUGUAUUCCAUUAUAGAGGUCUAUUAAACUGUAUUCCAUUAUAGAGUUCUAUUAAACUGUAUUCCAUUAUAGAGUUCUAUUAAACUGUAUUCCAUUAUAGAGUUCUAUUAAACUGUAUUCCAUUAUAGAGUUCUAUUAAACUGUAUUCCAUUAUAGAGUUCUAUUAAACUGUAUUCCAUUAUAGAGGUCUAUUAAACUGUAUUCCAUUAUAGAGUUCUAUUAAACUGUAUUCCAUUAUAGAGGUCUAUUAAACUGUAUUCCAUUAUAGAGGUCUAUUAAACUGUAUUAAAUUAUGAAGUUCAUUUCAAUUGUAGAGUUCUAUUAAACUUUAUUCCAUUAUAGAGUUCUAUUAAACUGUAUUCCAUUAUAGAGUUCUAUUAAACUGUAUUCCAUUAUAGAGUUCUAUUAAACUUUAUUCCAUUAUAGAGUUCUAUUAAACUGUAUUCCAUUAUAGAGUUCUAUUAAACUGUAUUCCAUUAUAGAGGUCUAUUAAACUGUAUUCCAUUAUAGAGGUCUAUUAAACUGUAUUCCAUUAUAGAGUUCUAUUAAACUGUAUUCCAUUAUAGAGGUCUAUUAAACUGUAUUCCAUUAUAGAGUUCUAUUAAACUGUAUUCCAUUAUAGAGUUCUAUUAAACUGUAUUCCAUUAUAGAGUUCUAUUAAACUGUAUUCCAUUAUAGAGGUCUAUUAAACUGUAUUCCAUUAUAGAGGUCUAUUAAACUGUAUUAAAUUAUGAAGUUCAUUUCAAUUGUAGAGUUCUAUUAAACUUUAUUCCAUUAUAGAGUUCUAUUAAACUGUAUUCCAUUAUAGAGUUCUAUUAAACUGUAUUCCAUUAUAGAGUUAUAUUAAACUUUAUUCCAUUAUAGAGUUCUAUUAAACUGUAUUCCAUUAUAGAGUUCUAUUAAACUGUAUUCCAUUAUAGAGGUCUAUUAAACUGUAUUCCAUUAUAGAGGUCUAUUAAACUGUAUUCCAUUAUAGAGUUCUAUUAAACUGUAUUCCAUUAUAGAGGUCUAUUAAACUGUAUUCCAUUAUAGAGUUCUAUUAAACUGUAUUCCAUUAUAGAGUUCUAUUAAACUGUAUUCCAUUAUAGAGGUCUAUUAAACUGUAUUCCAUUAUAGAGUUCUAUUAAACUGUAUUCCAUUAUAGAGGUCUAUUAAACUGUAUUAAAUUAUGAAGUUCAUUUCAAUUGUAGAGUUCUAUUAAACUUUAUUCCAUUAUAGAGUUCUAUUAAACUGUAUUCCAUUAUAGAGUUCUAUUAAACUGUAUUCCAUUAUAGAGGUCUAUUAAACUGUAUUCCAUUAUAGAGGUCUAUUAAACUGUAUUCCAUUAUAGAGGUCUAUUAAACUGUAUUCCAUUAUAGAGUUCUAUUAAACUGUAUUCCAUUAUAGAGUUCUAUUAAACUGUAUUCCAUUAUAGAGUUCUAUUAAACUGUAUUCCAUUAUAGAGUUCUAUUAAACUGUAUUCCAUUAUAGAGUUAUAUUAAACUGUAUUCCAUUAUAGAGGUCUAUUAAACUGUAUUCCAUUAUAGAGGUCUAUUAAACUGUAUUCCAUUAUAGAGGUCUAUUAAACUGUAUUCCAUUAUAGAGGUCUAUUAAACUUUAUUCCAUUAUAGAGGUCUAUUAAACUGUAUUCCAUUAUAUAGUUCUAUUAAACUGUAUUCCAUUAUAGAGUUCUAUUAAUAAAUAAAAUAAAUAAUAUGCCAUUUAGCAGACGCUUUUAUCCAAAGCGACUUACAGUCAUGUGUGCAUACAUUCUACGUAUGGGUGGUCCCGGGAAUCGAACCCACUACCCUGGCGUUACAAGCGCCAUGCUCUACCAACUGAGCUACAGAAGGACUUUAUUCCAUUAUAGAGUUAUAUUAAACUGUAUUCCAUUAUAGAGUUCUAUUAAACUUUAUUCCAUUAUAGAGUUCUAUUAAACUGUAUUCCAUUAUAGAGUUCUAUUAAACUGUAUUCCAUUAUAGAGUUCUAUUAAACUGUAUUCCAUUAUAGAGUUCUAUUAAACUGUAUUCCAUUAUAGAUGUCU